GGAUGUGAGGGUGAUCUGGCUGCGAUGCGACAUCUGUCACUCCACUGAUUGCCAGGGUUUAUUUGGCUGAUCUGGCUGACUAGGCAGCUGCCCCCUUCCUUCCUCACGGCUCCAAGUGUGCCCCUCCCGACGCUGCGUGGUGUGUCGAAGAGGAUAACCAUCCACAAUAGAGGAGGACCAUCUUCCAUCAAGGGUAUACAAGUAGCUGCACUCUGGUGAGAACCUCCAAACAAGCUCUCAAUAAAUGCAAACUGGUUGGGUGCGGUGGCUCACACCAGUAAUCCCAGCUACUAGGAAGGCUGAGGCAGAAUUGCUUGAACCU
rnacentral:snRNA from 1 species